rnacentral:sRNA from 28 species
ACAAUAGCCUCACUACCAUCAAGCGAUACUGCUGCUUACGAGAAACAAGGGAUGCUGCGCACGCUGAUUAAAGUCACGUUCGGUUAUCCUGCGAUUUUUGACGAGGUUCGGCAGGAAUGCCAAAUCAACAAUGCGCAUGUUGUCGCCGGAUGUGGAUCCGGGUAUCAAAGCGUUUAUAGCCGUUGUCAGAGCUGCAGAACAUCAGUCAGAAAAAGCAGCGGACCAGGGUUCGUGUGCAGGAUAAGCGGGUGCAAAUCAACAGAAUUCGC